GGACAGUGACGAUUUGUAUCAUUGGUCUCGUUCGUCUUAAUGGGACACAAUAGUGUUCCUUGAUGACCAUCCUGAUAUAUCACCACCCAUAUUCUGAGUCC